rnacentral:lncRNA from 1 species
GCAUGCCUGGAUGUCCCUGCCCUGGCUGUGGCAUGGCGGGCCCAAGGCUCCUCUUCCUCACUGCCCUUGCCCUGGAACUCUUGGGAAGGGCUGGGGGUUCCCAGCCGGCCCUCCGGAGCCGGGGGACUGCGACGGCCUGUCGCCUGGACAACAAGGAAAGUGAGUCCUGGGGGGCUCUGCUGAGCGGAGAGCGGCUGGACACCUGGAUCUGCUCCCUCCUGGGUUCCCUCAUGGUGGGGCUCAGUGGGGUCUUCCCGUUGCUUGUCAUUCCCCUAGAGAUGGGGACCAUGCUGCGCUCAGAAGCUGGGGCCUGGCGCCUGAAGCAGCUGCUCAGCUUCGCCCUGGGGGGACUCUUGGGCAAUGUGUUUCUGCAUCUGCUGCCCGAAGCCUGGGCCUACACGUGCAGCACCAGCCCUGGUAAGUGAGGCCACAGGCCAGGGGCAAGACAGUGCCAGGAGUAGGGGCCUGGUGCCCACGCCCAGGGAUGGCCAGGAUGACCAGGAGAGGGAUUCUGGGUUUCUGGCAGGAGCUUGCCUGGGAGGGAGGGAGGGUCAUUGUCCUGGUCUCUGGGCCCUGGUCCCAGUGGGAGUUCUGGGCCCCAGCUGCCCAACCCACCCUUGUCACUGCCCUGGUGCCCUGGAUGAGAUCCCAUUCCAAAUGGCCCCCUCCUAUGGCCCUGGCUUGGCUUGGCCUGGCCUGGCCUGGCAUUGCCGCCCCCUGCAGGUGGUGAGGGGCAGAGCCUGCAGCAGCAGCAACAGCUGGGGCUGUGGGUCAUUGCUGGCAUCCUGACCUUCCUGGCGUUGGAGAAGAUGUUCCUGGACAGCAAGGAGGAGGGGACCAGCCAGGUGGGCCCCACACUCAAGGGCCUGGAUAUAUCAGCCUCUGUUCUGUGGUAGUGCCCGGGGCCUGGAGGCCCAGGGUCUGAGUUGAGCCCUGAAAAGAGGGGUCUCCUGGCCCUCUCCUGGGAGCUGCGGGAGGUUGGGCCACCUUCUUUGGGACUGACACCAUUAGCCCCUGAUGUAGCUUGUUCUGGUAGCCUGAUGGUGACAGCAGUUGGGGAGGGUUUGUUGAGUUUGG